UGGGGAAUAUUGCACAAUGGGCGGAAGCCUGAUGCAGCGACCCGCGUGGGGGAUGAAGGCCUUCGGGUUGUAAACUCCUUUCGACAGGGACGAAGCUUUUGUGACGGUACCUGUAUAAGAAGCACCGGCUAACUACGUGCCAGCAGCCGCGGUAAUACGUAGGGUGCGAGCGUUGUCCGGAAUUACUGGCCGUAAAGAGCAAGUAGGUGGUUUGUCGCGUCGUCUGUGAAAUUCCGGGGCUUAACUCCGGGCGUGCAGGCGAUACGGGCUGACUUGAGUGCUGUAGGGGAGACUGGAAUUCCUGGUGUAGCGGUGAAAUGCGCAGAUAUCAGGAGGAACACCGAUGGCGAAGGCAGGUCUCUGGGCAGUAACUGACGCUGAGGAGCGAAAGCUUGGGUAGCGAACAGGAUUAGAUACCCUGGUAGUCCAUGCCGUAAACGGUGGGCGCUAGGUGUAGGGGGCUUCCACGUCUUCUGUGCCGUAGCUAACGCAUUAANCGCCCCGCCUGGGGAGUACGGCCGCAAGCU
rnacentral:rRNA from 1 species